rfam:Bilophila wadsworthia 3_1_6 genomic scaffold acCls-supercont2.1, whole genome shotgun sequence.
GGAGCCGGAUGGAUUGUCGCCGCGUCCGUCGCGUUUCGGCGUGACGGACGGAGAGGAAAGUCCGGGCUUCACAGGGCAGGACGCUGGGUAACGCCCAGGGGGAGUGAUCCUCGGAGAGCGCCACAGAAAGCAAACCGCCGCCUUCGGGCGGUAAGGGUGAAACGGUGGGGUAAGAGCCCACCAGUCGGCACGGUGACGUGACGAGCUCGGCAAGCCCCGUUCGAAGCAAGACCAAAUAGGGAAGCGGAUCGGCCCGAUCAACGCUUCCGGGUAGGUUGCUUGAGGGUACAGGUAACUGUGCUCCUAGAGGAAUGACAGUCGCCAUGCCGCCCGCAAGGGCGGAGUGGUACAGAACCCGGCUUAUAGUCCGACUCCCGAU